rnacentral:rRNA from 1 species
CAUGUAGGCGGUUAAAUAAGUCUGAUGUGAAAGCACACAGCUCAACUGUGAUGUUGCGUUGGAAACUGUUUAACUUGAAUCCGAGAGGGGUGUGUGGAAUUCCUAGUGUAGGGGUGAAAUCUGUUGAUAUUAGGAAGAACACCAGAGGCGAAGGCGACACACUGGCUCUGGAUUGACGCUGAGAUGCGAAAGCGUAGGUAGCGAACAGGAUUAGAUACCCUGGUAGUCC